UACGAAGGGGGCUAGCGUUGCUCGGAAUUACUGGGCGUAAAGGGCGCGUAGGCGGAUAGUUUAGUCAGAGGUGAAAGCUCAGGGCUCAACCUUGGAAUUGCCUUUGAUACUGGCUAUCUUGAGUUCGGGAGAGGUGAGUGGAAUGCCGAGUGUAGAGGUGAAAUUCGUAGAUAUUCGCAAGAACACCAGUGGCGAAGGCGGCUCACUGGCCCGAUACUGACGCUGAGGUGCGAAAGCGUGGGGAGCAAACAGG
rnacentral:rRNA from 1 species